GCCACACCAGGUUGAAAUGUUCAUUCCUGUAUGAGCACCGCAGUUAAGCAAUGUUGAGCCAGGUCAGUACCUAGAUGGGUGACCACUUGGGAAUACUAUAUGUUGUAAG